AACUCUAUAUGCCGAGAGGUGAAAAAAGCAAUUUGCUUGAAGAGAAGCUCGCGUCUGAUUAGCUAGUUGGUAGGGUAAAGGCCUACCAAGGCGACGAUCAGUAACUGGUCUAAGAGGAUGAUCAGUCACACUGGAACUGAGACACGGUCCAGACUCCUACGGGAGGCAGCAGUGAGGAAUAUUCUGCAAUGGACGAAAGUCUGACAGAGCAAUACCGCGUGAAGGAUGAAGGCCUACGGGUUGUAAACUUCUUUUCUCAAGGAGGAAGAAAUGACGUUACUUGAGGAAUAAGCAUCGGCUAACCCUGUGCCAGCAGCCGCGGUAAUACAGGGGAUGCAAGUGUUAUCCGGAUUCAUUGGGCGUAAAGCGUCUGCAGGUGGAUAUAUAAGUCUGUUGUUAAAUCUUUGGGCUUAACCCAAAAUCUGCAAAAGAAACUAUAUAUCUUGAGUAUGGUAGAGGUAAAGGGAAUUUCCGGUGGAG
rnacentral:rRNA from 1 species